rnacentral:rRNA from 1 species
CCUACGGGCGGCAGCAGUGAGGAAUAUUGGUCAAUGGCCGCAGGGCUGAACCAGCCAAGUCGCGUGAGGGAUGACGGUCCUAUGGAUUGUAAACCUCUUUUGUCAGGGAGCAAAGGGCGCCACGUGUGGCGCUUUGCGAGUACCUGAAGAAAAAGCAUCGGCUAACUCCGUGCCAGCAGCCGCGGUAAUACGGAGGAUGCGAGCGUUAUCCGGAUUUAUUGGGUUUAAAGGGUGCGCAGGCGGAAUGUCAAGUCAGCGGUAAAAUUUCGGGGCUCAACCCCGUCGUGCCGUUGAAACUGGCGUUCUUGAGUGAGCGAGAAGUAUGCGGAAUGCGUGGUGUAGCGGUGAAAUGCAUAGAUAUCACGAAGAACUCCGAUUGCGAAGGCAGCAUACCGGCGCUCAACUGACGCUCAUGCACGAAAGCGUGGGUAUCGAACAGGAUUAGAUACCCCAGUAGUC